AAUAAACGCUGGCGGCGUGCCUAAUACAUGCAAGUCGAGCGAGAAGGUGUAGCAAUACACUUGUAAAGCGGCGAACGGGUGAGGAAUACAUGGGUAAUCUACCAUCGAGUGGGGAAUAACCAACCGAAAGGUUGGCUAAUACCGCGUACGCCUCCGAGUCUUCGGGUUCGGAGGGAAAGCUGCACUGUGAGUGUAGCGCUCUUUGAUGAGCUCAUGUCCUAUCAGCUUGUUGGUAGGGUAACGGCCUACCAAGGCUUUGACGGGUAGCUGGUCUGAGAGGACGAUCAGCCACACUGGCACUGCGACACGGGCCAGACUCCUACGGGAGGCAGCAGUAAGGAAUAUUGCGCAAUGGGCGAAAGCGUGACGCAGCAACACCGCGUGA
rnacentral:rRNA from 1 species